rnacentral:lncRNA from 1 species
GAAGAAAUUACAAAUCACCUCAACUUAAACGAAACAAUACAAAAGAGAUAUGAUCAAUCAUAUAAAUUACAUAUGGAGACAAAUGGCUAAAAAAAAUAUACAAGGAGGCAAAUGAAAUUUAUAAGAUUAUAAAUUUUGUAAGAAGAUUAUUUGGAAAGAGACAAGCAUGGAGAAAUAUUAAAAUAAAAUGAAUCACCACUAAUAUUAAUUUAUUAUAUAAUGAAUUAGAAACAUAGUUAAAAACAAACAUGGUGUUAAAAAUUGAAUUUUUCAAUUUGAUAAUUUGCUAUACAUAAUGAAUUUAUUAGCAAUUUAGCAUCUUAUUACACUUCACCAUCACCAUGGUUAUGAUGAAAAUUAAUGAAAAUUGUUUUUUGGUUCUUACCUUGUCGAUGAUUGAUGAAACAAGUGAUUUGUGAAAAACAUAUUGCUAUUGUUGAGUGUUUCUACAUGUAUUUCGAUUGUUGCAGACCGGAUUUGUUAUUGUUGUAAUUUUUCAAAUCUAAAUCAAUUGUUGUAGGAGGAAUUUGUUGUUUGUAAUUUUUGGGAUUUGAAUAUUUUUAAAUAAAAAUUUGAAUUUGUUGUUGUGGUGAUUUCUCAGAUUUAAAAUACAUUGCUGCAUGCGAAAUUUGUUGUUAUUGUGAUUUUUUGGAUUUAAUUUUUUUUUUAAUUGACGAAGAUAAUGAUGAAAUUGAAAAUGAGAUGUUAUCUUG